CAAAAAAUCAACAUUGACCCAAGGUUCUACAGCAGCAGAACUUAUUCGGUGAUCUUUUGGCCCAUCUUUGCUAAUACCGACAAAGUACGCAUGCUGCUGUUGUCAAGGGGAGGUGCUGGAAGCAAGGAUCAGGAGUGCUUGAAGUGUGUGAAAAAAUGAUUACUCGCAUGCAUGCUA